AUUGAACGCUGGCGGCAUGCCUUACACAUGCAAGUCGAACGGCAGCGACGGGGGCAACCCUGGUGGCGAGUGGCGAACGGGUGAGUAAUACAUCGGAAUGUACCCAGUAGUGGGGGAUAACUAGUCGAAAGAUUAGCUAAUACCGCAUACGCACUAUGGUGGAAAGCGGGGGAUCGCAAGACCUCGCGCUAUUGGAGCAGCCGAUGUCCGAUUAGGUAGUUGGUGGGGUAAAAGCCUACCAAGCCUGCGAUCGGUAACUGGUCUGAGAGGACGACCAGUCACACUGGGACUGAGACACGGCCCAGACUCCUACGGGAGGCAGCAGUGGGGAAUUUUGGACAAUGGGGGAAACCCUGAUCCAGCAAUGCCGCGUGUGUGACGAAGGCCUUCGGGUUGUAAAGCACUUUUGGCGGGAACGAAACGGCGCUUUCUAAUACAGAGUGCUAAUGACGGUACCCGCAGAAUAAGCACCGGCUAACUACGUG
rnacentral:rRNA from 1 species